CGUAGGUGGCAAGCGUUGUCCGGAAUUAUUGGGCGUAAAGCGCGCGCAGGCGGUCUUUUAAGUCUGAUGUGAAAGCCCCCGGCUCAACCGGGGAGGGUCAUUGGAAACUGGAGGACUUGAGUGCAGAAGAGAAGAGCGGAAUUCCACGUGUAGCGGUGAAAUGCGUAGAGAUGUGGAGGAACACCAGUGGCGAAGGCGGCUCUUUGGUCUGUAACUGACGCUGAGGCGCGAAAGCGUGGGGAGCAAACAGGAUUAGAUACCCUGGUAGUCCACGCCGUAAACGAUGAGUGCUAAGUGUUAGAGGGUUUCCGCCCUUUAGUGCUGCAGCUAACGCAUUAAGCACUCCGCCUGGGGAGUACGGCCGCAAGGCUG
rnacentral:rRNA from 1 species